rnacentral:rRNA from 1 species
UAACACGUGAGUAACCUGCCCUUAACUCUGGGAUAAGCCUGUUGAAACUGGGUCUAAUACCGGAUAUGACUCCUCAUCGCAUGGUGGGGGGUGGAAAGCUUUAUUGUGGUUUUGGAUGGACUCGCGGCCUAUCAGCUUGUUGGUGAGGUAAUGGCUCACCAAGGCGACGACGGGUAGCCGGCCUGAGAGGGUGACCGGCCACACUGGGACUGAGACACGGCCCAGACUCCUACGGGAGGCAGCAGUGGGGAAUAUUGCACAAUGGGCGCAAGCCUGAUGCAGCGACGCCGCGUGAGGGAUGACGGCCUUCGGGUUGUAAGCCUCUUUCAGUAGGGAAGAAGCGAAAGUGACGGUACCUGCAGAAGAAGCGCCGGCUAACUACGUGCCAGCAGCCGCGGUAAUACGUAGGGCGCAAGCGUUAUCCGGAAUUAUUGGGCGUAAAGAGCUCGUAGGCGGUUUGUCGCGUCUGCCGUGAAAGUCCGGGGCUCAACUCCGGAUCUGCGGUGGGGUACGGGCAGACUAAAGUGAUGUAGGGGAGACUGGAAUUCCUGGUGUAGCGGUGAAAUGCGCACAUAUCAGGAGGACACGAUGGCGAACGCAGGUCUCUGGGCAUAACUGACCUGAGGACGAAGCAUGGGGAGCGACAGAUUAGANCCUGGUAGUCAUGCCG